ACAGUGGUGGUUCGGUGGUAGAAUUCUCACUUUCCAUGUCAGACACCUGGGUUCAAUCCCGGCCAAUGCU
rnacentral:tRNA from 1 species